rnacentral:rRNA from 1 species
AGUUAUCGUUUAUUUGAUAAUACCUUACUACUUGGAUAACCGUGGUAAUUCUAGAGCUAAUACAUGCUGAAAAUCCCGACUUCGGAAGGGAUGUGUUUAUUAGAUAAAAAACCAAUGCCCUUCGGGGCUCUUUGGUGAUUCAUGAUAACUUUACGGAUCGCAUAGCCUUGCGCUGGCGACGGUUCAUUCAAAUUUCUGCCCUAUCAACUUUCGAUGGUAAGGUAUUGGCUUACCAUGGUUUCAACGGGUAACGGGGAAUUAGGGUUCGAUUCCGGAGAGGGAGCCUGAGAAACGGCUACCACAUCCAAGGAAGGCAGCAGGCGCGCAAAUUACCCAAUCCCGACACGGGGAGGUAGUGACAAUAAAUACUGAUACAGGGCUCUUUUGGGUCUUGUAAUUGGAAUGAGUACAAUUUAAACCUCUUAACGAGGAACAAUUGGAGGGCAAGUCUGGUGCCAGCAGCCGCGGUAAUUCCAGCUCCAAUAGCGUAUAUUAAAGUUGUUGCAGUUAAAAAGCUCGUAGUUGAAACUUGGGCCUGGCUGGCGGGUCCGCCUCACCGCGUGCACUCGUCCGGCCGGGCCUUCCUUCUGAAGAACCUCAUGCCCUUCACUGGGCGUGUUGGGGAAUCAGGACUUUUACUUUGAAAAAAUUAGAGUGUUCAAAGCAGGCCUUUGCUCGAAUACGUUAGCAUGGAAUAAUAAAAUAGGGCGUGCGUUUCUAUUUUGUUGGUUUCUAGAGACGCCGCAAUGAUUAACAGGAACAGUCGGGGGCAUCAGUAUUCAGUUGUCAGAGGUGAAAUUCUUGGAUUUACUGAAGACUAACUACUGCGAAAGCAUUUGCCAAGGAUGUUUUCAUUAAUCAGUGAACGAAAGUUAGGGGAUCGAAGACGAUCAGAUACCGUCGUAGUCUUAACCGUAAACUAUGCCGACUAGGGAUCGGGCGAUGUUCUUUUUCUGACUCGCUCGGCACCUUACGAGAAAUCAA